ensembl:lncRNA
UCUGAAAACACAAAACUAAUACCAACUUAUAAAACAUAUUUAGAUAAGAGUAAUUACUAUCACUGCUCAUAUAUGCGUGAAUAUAACAUACAGAGUUUUACUGAUAAUUUUUUAAAAAAAUUUAAUUAUUACUUUGGAGACUUAAAUAUAACUAUAAGAACAAAAAAUAAAUAUACGAUUGGCAUUUUCACUGUAUCUUAUACUUCUUCAGUUUUUUUUAUAGUAGGUGAAUUACAUAAAGAUACGAAUAGAAUAUAUAUAUAUCGUAUAUUUAAUAAUAUGUUUGUUCAUAAUUAUAAUUAUAAUAUAACUAGGUAUUAUACUUAUUGGAAUAAUAAAUUGUUUGCAUUUUCACAAUACGAAGCAGAAUGUAUUUUACUUUUUAAUAAAUAUAAUUUUUAUGAAGAACACAAAUCCACAUCAAAUAUUUUUGGAUCUUUUUUUAAAAAAAUUACAUACCAAAAUUUUAUUAGAAAAAAACUUUCAUUAAGUAACAAUAAAAUAAAUAAUAACAACUAUGAGACCGAUGAUAGUUCUAUAGAUGAUAAUAAAAUAAUAUAUAAUAAUAAAGAAAAUAGAUUAAAAAAUAAUAAAGAAUUAAUAACAUAUUUUUCGAAAAAAAAUAAUAGUUGUUUAUGUGAUGUAUAUGAUAUUAAUAAACCCAAAAGUGAAUUUAUUAUUUAUGAAUAUUUAACUUUAAGAAACAAAUUUAUGAAUAAUAUAAAAAAAAAAAAUGAAAAUUUAUAUAAACAAAUGAAUGAUUAUAAUUUUUUUAACGAUCCUUUGGAAUUAUCAUACAAUACACAAACAAUAGAAAAUGAGAAAUUAAUUAAUAUAUGUAAAGAUAUAAAAUUUAAUAAAGAACAAUUAUGUUUAUCUCAAAAAACAAGAGUGGUUUUAACUUAUGUAUAUUUAUUAUCAACUUAUCCUGAUUUUAUAUAUUAUGUUGUUACUCCUCUUAUUUUUAUAAAACCACAAAAAUAUUGUAAUCGACAUGAUAUACCAUUAGUUAUGAAUAAUUUAGUAAAAAAUAGAGAUUUUUUAAAAAAAAAUACAAAAAUAUGUAUUAAUUAUGCAUUUGGUCAUUUUAUUUUAGUAGGAAAUCAUAUAAGUAACUUAUAUGUAACAGCAAAAUUAAAUGGUAUAGUAACAAAUAUUAAUAAAAAUAGUAUGUUACUAGUUUUACCAUUAACUAAAAGAAUUAAUAUAUUGGAUACAAUAAACAAUAAUGAAUUUGAUAUGACUGAAGAAAUAGUAAAUGAGUUUUUUAUUUUAGGAAAUCCUUAUAUGCCAAUUAAUUUAAUACAUUACGAUUUUAAAAAUUAUGAUAAAAUAAAAAAUAAUUCAAACGAUAUUAUUGUUGGAGCUUUAAUAAGAUAUUCUCACCGUCUUUUUUUAAGGUACUAUAAUGUAACAAAAAAAAGAAAUAAAAUGACUAAAUAUAUGGUUAAACAUACUAAUAAAAUUGACAACUAUAAUAUGAAUGAUGAUAGUAUAAAUUACAGUGAUGGUUCUAUAUAUGGUCCAACUACUAACAAAGAUAGUAGUGACAAUAUUAGUGAUGAAAAUAAUAAUAAAAUUAAUAAAAAUGAAAAUAACGAUGUAUUUAAUGAAUGUACAGAAAACGACUUGUUCGAAUAUAAAGGAAAAAAAUUAUGUUUUUGUAACAUAUUUAAUCAUACUAGUAACAAUAAUUGUAUAUAUCCGUUUUGUGAUAGACAUAAAUCUUUUUGUUACAUUAAUGAAGAAUGUGUACAUGGUAAAUGUGUUUGUAUUAGUGGGUAUGUAAGAAAUCCGAUAAGUAAUAUAUGUGAAAAAUUUAAUGAAUGUAUUACAAAUAAAAAAUCUAUAUGUAAAGAACCUGGAACUUGUGCUUCAUUAAACAACCGUUAUGUUUGUUUAUGUCCACAUCCAUAUAUUCGAGUUUUUAAAAACUGCUUACACCCUUUAACUGCUAUACUAAUUAAACUUCAUAUUUUUAUCGAUGGACAACGUAAUAUAUCUAUAUAUGAAGAAAAUGCUUAUAAAAGAAUAACCUUUUAUACCAAAGUCUUUGGAUCUGUUUGUGAAUAUAUUAAAGCCGUUAUGGAUUACAUUGUCAAGACUGAUAUGGAAUCACGAAUAGAUGUAAAACCGAUAGAAAAAACGAAAAACACCAUCACAGCAAAUAUCAUAAUACAUCAAGGAAAUAACCCUAAUGAACUUACACCAGUAGAAAUUUUUAAUAUUUUUUUAAAACAGUUAAUUGAUUCAACAUCCCCAUUAAAUAAUGGAUUUUACUCAUAUUUUUCAAGAUAUACAUACAUAGAAUAUGUAAAAGCUUUUUCAGAAAGUGAAGAAACACCAUCGUUUUAUGAAUUGUUCUUAAAUCAUAUACCUAUGUUUUUUAUGAAGAAAAUUAAUGAAGAUUUUGGUAAAAGUGCAUUUAUGGUUGAUUUUUUACAUUUUAUUGUACUUACUUGUUUCGUUCUUUUUUUAAUUCUUUCUGUUUCGAUUUUGGUUUUUUGUGUUAUAUACUUGUUAGUAAAACUUAAAACGUUUCAUAAAAAUAUGAGAAAAAUAUAUUAACCAAGGAAGUAAACGAGAGGAGGAAAUCUUAAGGGUAAAACCGAAUAUUAAAAAAAUAAAAAAAAAAAAAAAAAAAAAAAAAAAAAAAAA